UGGGGACAUAGAGGUUGCCUCUGUCCAAGGUUGGAUACGCCAUGCUAGGAGAUACUUCCCUCCAUGUGGGGACAUAGAGGUUGCCUCUGUCCAAGGUUGGAUACGUCAUGCUAGGAGAUACUUCCCUCCAUGUGGGGACAUAGAGGUUGCCUCUGUCCAAGGUUGGAUACGCCAUGCUAGGAGAUACUUCCCUCCAUGUGGGGACAUAGAGGUUGUCUCUGUCCAAGGUUGGAUACGCCAUGCUAGGAGAUACUUCCCUCCAUGUGGGGACAUAGAGGUUGCCUCUGUCCAAGGUUGGAUACGCCAUGCUAGGAGAUACUUCCCUCCAUGUGGGGACAUAGAGGUUGCCUCUGUCCAAGGUUGCAU